rnacentral:tRNA from 1 species
GAGGGCAUAGCUCAAGUGGUAGAGCACAUGCUUAGCAUGCAUGAGGUCCUGGGUUCAAUCCCCAGUACCUCCU